AUAGAGCAAAGUUUUACAUUUUCUUGAAGAACAAUAUAUCAAUUUUUUUCUUCUGUGGAUGAUGCUUUUGGUGUUUUAUCUCAGAAGUCUUUGCCUAAUCCAAAAUAAAAACAUGUAGACUACACUCAGUUAACCAGGGAAUCACCCCACAGAUAUGCUGCUCUUACUGUGCCUCCAUAAAGAUAUCCCCAAAAGAUGAUGUCCUUAGCCUGGAAACUCCAGGAAUCUAUCCUACAGAAACACUCGCAGAUACCUAGGAAGAGUACAAGAUUGCAGCAAUGUCUCCAAAGGCAAAAAAAUUGGAAACUACACCAAAAAAAUCAUUACUAGUGAGUUGCUUAAACAAACUGGUGUAUGCUCAUAUUAUGGAAUGUAAUGUAGCCAUUCAUUAAAAAUAGUAAGACAAUUCUAUUUGAACUGACAAAGCAUUAGAUAAUAUACACACGAGAGAGAGAGAGAGAGACAGAGAGAGAGAGAGAGACAGAGAGAGAGAGAUGAAGCUGAAACAGCCAGUUAGGGAAUAGUAGGAAUCCCACUAACGUAAGAAAAGACGUGUGCGGUGCUCUUGCAAAUGCAUACGUGUGUGUAAAAGUUUAAGAAGAAUCCAGGAGGAUAUAUUCCUAAAUGGUCAUCUCUGAAGAAAGAAAUGAGGUUUGAUGGGAGAAAAUAGAGACGGGAGAGGAGAAAAUCAGAGGCAGGGACGACUGGAGCACGUUUACUUCUUCUUUAGAUACCUUUGCAAUGUUGACCUGUUUUUUUUUAAACAAUAAGCAUGCAUUGCUUUUGUAAUUAAAAAGCCACUUUAAAGAAAUGCUAAAGGACUGAAAAAGAGAGAAAGAAAAAUGAUCACUCACAACUGGAUCACCCAAACACAACUAUUUUUAUUUCUGCAUAUUGUUUUCUAGGCUUUUAAUAUGGACCUAAAUAUGUGGAAAACAUACAAAUGGAAAAUUAGUAAGAAUGUUGAUACAUAAUCAUUUAAUUUUAAAUAUUAUAUUUUUAGUAUAAACUAGAUAACCAUAGUAUAUGAGUUUCCAUUCUGAUGCAAAUAUCUAUCAUCUGGUAUCGUGGUAUUGAUGCUUUUACAUUUAAUCAUUGUACCAGAAGGUAAUUACACAUAUUGGCUGCUUUGGACUUUAUUCAUAAAUAACUUAUUACAGAAAUGAAUAAGUUUAUAAUAUAUUAUCUCUUUGGAUCACAUCUUUGAGAAAAAUUCUAAGUAGCAAAAUUAUCACGUUAAACAAGAAUUUAAACAUUUUUUGGCUCGUAAUAUACAUUGCCAAUUUUAUUUUCCAAAGGAUAGUUCUAAUAUUAUUGCCACAAAAAAAAAGUGUUUUGGUUUUACUCUGUCCUCAUUAAUAUUGGGUGUUAAUUUUUUGAACUAUUUUGGCAAAAGUUGAAUAAUGUAUUUUUGGAAUAAAUUAUAAAUUUGAACAUUUCCCUUGUGUUAGUUUAUUCAUUGCAGCUGGUGAAUUGAUUGUUUCAGUCUUUCCUCCAUUUAUUUAUCUAACUUCUUUUAUUAGUAGUAACAAUAAUAGCAAAUCCUACUGUUUAUCAAUUGGCACUGUGCUAAAUACUAUAAAGACAUCUCACAAUGCAACCUCACAAAGCCCUGAUAACUGUUGCCACCAUUUUAUAGAUAAAGAAA